rnacentral:misc_RNA from 1 species
GAUGAAGAACGUAGCGAAAUGCGAUACGUAAUGUGAAUUGCAAAUUCAGUGAAUCAUCGAGUCUUUGAACGCACAUUGCGCCCCCUGGUAUUCCGGGGGGCAUGCCUGUCCGAGCGUCAUUGCUGCCCUCAAGCACGGCUUGUGUGUUGGGCCCCGUCCUCCGAUCCCGGGGGACGGGCCCGAAAGGCAGCGGCGGCACCGCGUCCGGUCCUCGAGCGUAUGGGGCUUUGUCACCCGCUCUGUAGGCCCGGCCGGCGCUUGCCGAUCAACCCAAAUUUUUAUCCAGGUUGACCUCGGAUCAGGUAGGGAUACCCGCUGAACUUGAGCAUAUCAAUAAGCGGAGGA